rnacentral:lncRNA from 1 species
GGGGGGGGGGGGGGGCAGGAGGAUUUGUUUUUGAUCGGUUAUUUAUUUUUGUAAACUAAGAGGACAGAUUAAUCAUUUUCUGCACUAUUGAAGCAAGAUUUUUCAUUUUCAUUAAAGCAAGGGACUGAUUAUUCAUUUUCACAACCAUAUUUUUGAUAUUCGAAAACAUACAAUUUUUUAAAUGAUUUGUUUAUUAUAAAUAAUACAUAUAGUAUAGUCAAGUCAUUAUGUACCAUUUAAUUAGAUUAACCAUCCCCCUCUGCAGAAAUGAAUCUUUUAAAUUCCCAACUGCAUUUACAUGUAUUGUAUACAUACAUAGUAUUGAAGUUUAGUUAUAAGUAGGAACUUUUAAAUGUAUUGGCAAACAUACUACGCCGAGC